rnacentral:rRNA from 1 species
AACGAACGCUGGCGGCAGGCCUAACACAUGCAAGUCGAGCGCGCCCUUCGGGGUGAGCGGCGGACGGGUGAGUAACGCGUGGGAACGUGCCCUUUUCUACGGAAUAGCCUCGGGAAACUGAGAGUAAUACCGUAUACGCCCUUUGGGGGAAAGAUUUAUUGGAAAAGGAUCGGCCCGCGUUGGAUUAGGUAGUUGGUGGGGUAAUGGCCUACCAAGCCGACGAUCCAUAGCUGGUUGGAGAGGAUGAUCAGCCACACUGGGACUGAGACACGGCCCAGAAUCCUACGGGAGGGAGCAGAGGGGAAUCUUAGACAAUGGGGGCAACCCUGAUCGAGCCAUGCCGCGUAAGUGAUGAAGGCCUUAGGGUUGUAAAGCUCUUUCAGCUGGGAAGAUAAUGACGGUACCAGCAGAAGAAGCCCCGGCUAACUCCGUG